rnacentral:lncRNA from 1 species
GUUAUAUAUAUUUUUUCUGUUUGAAAAAUAUUGCUUAAAUCUGUUAAAGAAAAUGUCAACACACCACCUUUGUUCCAACAAUGAAUUAUUAAUUUCAAAGAAUUAUUGAUCUCAACUGGACCCAAUUUUUGGAUAUUUAGGGAAGAGACAGCAUUAAUAUACGUAAGGCUCGUAUGUGUCUGCCCUGUGUAUCUGUCGUAUUAUAAUAUCCAGACAGAAAAGAUUAAACCGAGGAUUAAACAUACAAAAUAUGUAAAUAUUUCUAACAAGAAAGAAAUCGUUUAUGAUUUACACCCACUAAAAUUGAUUAUAUAUAUAUCUAUUACAUUAAAUAUCGUUUAUACUCUGAAUCAAUUAUAAAUACAAAAAAAAAUGUAUUCUUCACAACGGAAAAACCACGGAAAAACCAAUAAAAUCCCCCUCGAAGAGCCCACAAAUGAUCAUGUGAUAACAAAACUAUCCACUGAUUUAAUAGGAAAUACUUGUAUUCAAAUAGUAUAUGAGGAUCCUUGCAGUUUGUAAGUAAUUUUGUACAAAUAUUAGAAAAUGUAGAAAUAAUGAAUUAUUAAGAGCGAAUAAAGAGAUACACUAUUGAAUUCAUAAUAUUUAAAAAGCUGGCAAAAUAACAAUAAUCUAAAUAUUGAUAGAGUUCAAAUGAUAACAUUAUACAAUCAAAAUAAGAUAAAAGAUUAGAACUUUCGAUAUAUGUUUAAAAUAUACAAAUUAUGUAUAUAGACUUUUGAAUUGCCAGUGAAUUCUUAAACGUAUUGCAUGUUUGUGGUGUCUCUAAAUUAGUGCAGUAAAUAUUUAUUUUAACGAUGAUUUAGGUACAGUAUAUCACUUGAAUUUAAAACCAAGAGUUACCUUUCAUUUCAAGUAAAUUUACUAACAAUAAAUACAAGAAAUAAAAAGAAACAAAUAGUUAUAAAAAUUGCAUUCAUUUUAUUAUAAUUGAAAUAAUUGUGUAAUGUUCUAAGAAUCUAGUUAUAAAUAUUUUUGUUACUUCGCUUAAGACAAGAAAAGUUUUAUCAUUUCUUUUUUACUGCAUAUGUACAUACAAUCAAAUAAUAUGCUGAAACUGGUUUUUUUUUCGACUUUACAUGGAUAUAUUUGAUCUUAAUUGAACUAAUUAAUAUAUUCGCGUGUAUUGUUGAAUUUAAUCAUGAAACUAAAAAAGGCCAACAAAAAUGUGUAUUUAUUUGUUACAUUAAAGUUUCAUCGAAUGUUUAAAUAAUUUUUAAGGAAAUCGUUACUACGUUUCUCAUUUUAGUUUUCAUAUAAAAAUAAAGAAAGAAUAAAGCUAAAUGAUUUUUCUCAGACAUUCGAAGUAAAUAUGUUUGUUUCGAUUCUAAAUUUUAUAAGUGGGUUAAAACUAUUUAUAAUUUCCCCCAUUGGAAAUGAAAUUCAUCACAUAUUAUUCACGAUAUGAAUUUAAAUAAUAGUUUAAAUUUCGACAAACCCACUUAAGUAACAAUUAUAAAAACAAAUUCGAAAACAGAAUAUAUAUCCCUCAUCAGAAAUUUCAUAUAAACACUUUAUUUUUUUCAGAUUCGGGUAAUGGAAAUAUAAUAAUUAUAAGAAAAACACAUAUCGUAUUAUGUUUUACAUUAUUAUGUUUUACAUAUGAUUCGAAAAUAAAUAAAAACAAAACAUAUAUUUUUUAUCCAAAGAAAUGAAAUCAAAUGCAAAAGGAAAAUUUCAUAUGUUAAGUCAUUUUUAACAGUAGAUGUUAGAUUGGCAAAAACUUGAGUUGAAACUGUAAUGUACAUGCAUGAAAAUUUGUCUUUCGAUGUCUUAAGGAAUAUCAAAUAAAUGAUAUAUUUAUUUAAUAAACUAUUUAUUAAACAAGAUAUGUCACACUGUAAUUUGGAUUAUAUGAAUUAGUCAAAAAAUAAAAAGCUGUUAAACAUAUUUUAUCGCAGAAAAAUUAACAAAUUGUCCAAAUAAAAACACUAAAAUCGAACAUACUUCAUUUAAAUUAUUCUGUUUUAACAAUUGAUCUAUAAUUUUUAAUCUCGCAAAUAAAUUAUCGAUAAUUUGAAAAUAAAAUCUGUAAUGCAUGACGAGCGAGGAUGUCCUUGACAAAUCAAACUUAUUAUCCGAUAUAAAAUAAUCGAUUCCAGACUUCCUGAGUAUUUCAACAGGAAAAGAGUACUUUUUGAAAAGAGACCCAUUUCAUUCAUGAGUUAUCUCUCCUCAUAUGCUAAACUUCAUUUAAAAAUUCUUUAUUCCUGUUGUGAAAGCAGAAUUUUACACUUGCAGUAGGAGAAGGGUCCUGCUGUACACAUCAUUUCAAAUAUAGGUGUAGUGUAUGUCUUACGACACUUUUUAUAAGAAUCUUAUAUUAUAUAUCUGUCUGAUGAUGCAAAUAUCAAAAUUAUAAAAUAAAUAAUUGUUGUAAAUAUAAUGGAAUUUAGUGCGACUGAGAGGUUAGUGCUAUAAAACCAGGUUCAAUCUAUCGUUUUCUACAUUUCAAAAUGCCUGUACCAAGUCAGGAAUAUAACAGUUGAUGUCCAUUCCUUUGAUGUAUUUUAUCAUUUGAUUUUGCAAUUUCAUUAAGGACUUUCCAUUUUGAAUUUUCCUCGGAGUGCAGUAUUUUUGUGAUUUUACUUUUUAUCAUACUUAAGUGUUAAGUUAAGAAUAGUCUAAAGACAGGCAAAACUAAUUUUGAUUAUUUCGUUUAAAUGUCGACAUUAACUUUCCUAACACGGACCUAAGUCUAAUGCUAAUGAGAUGUUCUACAACAUAACUUUUAUUUUCGUACCUCCAACCUGAAGUACAUAAUUUUCCAGAUAUGAAUUACAAAAAACGUAUAUUUUCAUAAGGAGUUUUAAAAAGUCUGGAUUUUUUUUCUCGGAAAUAUAAGUUAACAGUUGUUUUUGAGCCCUUUUAACCUUAAUAUAAGUCAAAAAGAGAUAGUUUAUAUAUCAUAAGAUUAAUCUGACUUUUAAAUAAGAUAUUAUAUACAAACUGUUAGGCAAGAAGAUAGAAUUAAACGAAACAUAACAACCAUAGAUAUAUAUGUAAAAAAAUAUUUUCAAUCAUGCUGAAUCCCACAAAGAGCAAAAAAAAAAACAAAAAAUGAUUUGAGAUCUAGCAAAAUAUGUUUAAUCACGCCGCAUGUAUUGUACUUGUCCCCUGUCAGAAAUCUCUGUACUUUGUUAGAAUUGUAUCAUGAUGUUCAUAUCUGAGCAUCAACCCAACAAUGUUAGAUCUGUAAAUUUGCUUUCGCAAAUUUUUUGUUCUUCCCUCGCCGGGAUUCGAACCCACAAAAUUUGCGAAAGCAAAUUUACAGAUCUAACAUUGUUGGGUUGAUGUUUAGACGAGUUGUAUAUACAUAAUGUACACAGCCAUGCAUCACCAUCAUUGCUGGUGAUCCGAUGGAUAAAUCUGUUGUAGAGUUUUCACUGACUCAGAGGUACUUUUAUAUAUAUAUAUUUAUAUAUAUUACUAGUAAAUAUAAUGAUGCUAUAUUUUUCUUUUGUUAACAUUUUCUUAGUUCAACAUAAACCAAGAAACUGAAUGUAGCUUUGAAGAUAUCUCUAACAAUUAAGACAAAGGAUUAUAUACAUAAGCAUAAAACUUUUCUUUAAAUCGUCGUAUUCAGCACACUAACACACGCGCAAGAAAAAAAAACCUUUUUAAUGACAUUUGGGGAUUAUUUGAUCAUGAUAAAGAUGAUAUCCUAUUGUAUAAACAAUUUCAAGAAUCAGGGCAGUCUCACUUUGAAAGAUUUGUUUUAGAGUAGACCUUAGUUCAAGGGUUUCUGUUUUAAGUUUCCAGAUUUAUACGCCAUUAGACCAUUAUUUGGAAGCAAAGUAUGAGCCGAGACUACGAUCUUAUAUGUUUUUUUCCUUUUUUGUAAAACUGCAUCAAUCCUCAUUUUUACUAUUUGUUUUUUAACCAAGCUUUUAUUUUCUUUUUUUUUCUUUUUGUUUUGAAGAUUUUGGACAGUGUCAUCGUUUGAAUUUGUUUAAAUAAAAACAUGACAUACUUUGACGGAAAACAAUCUAUUCUAUUGUUACUAAACUUAUAUCGACAUUGAUAGAAAUAAGGCUUUCAGAGUUUGAAUUAGAUACGGAAUAAGGCUUUCAGAGUUUAAAUUAGAUACGGAAUAAGCCUUUCAGAGUUUAAUUUAGAUACAUUGGAAUUUUAUUGACAAACAAAAACACACGAUAGACAAAGAAACAAAAAAAUGACAACCGAAUAAGCAGGAUAAUGCCUAGUAGAAGUUCAGACAAAUUGUUAUAUACAAACGACAUGAUGCAGGAAUUUAUUGAAUAGGUGUACGAGAAAAAAGUUAUAUGACAUAUUUAAAGACAAUAUCCUCUAUUGUUUAUGCGCAUAUACAAGCGCAACAGUACUAUGUCGUCAGCGGUUUAUGACGUCGCGGUUUCCGCGAACUGGAAACGUUUAUUAGAGUUAUUCCUCUUUGAGCCGAUGGAGAGAGUGACAAUCGUUUUGAUAGGUUAAUUUGCCGAGAAAAAAAUGAAAAUUGUUUUUAUAUCAUAGACAUGUUCUAGAAUUGGAUAAAAUAUGAGAAUGAAAAGAGAGUCAACUAUAUAGCAAUCUAACAACAAAAAAUACACAAAAAUGACUGUAAAGAAACGAAACAGAAUCUGGAUACUCGACAACAAGAUGAGCCAAUCAAAUUAUAAUAUAAUACUUUUUUCUUUAAUUUUCUACACGUAUAGACUUUCGUAGGUUCUUAAUUAUAUCGAUAUUUUACAAAUCAUUAAGAAAGUACAAAAUCAUCAAUCAUUCUGGUCAUGUCCUCAAAAUUCAAUUUAUCUCUAGCAAAAGAUACAAUACGUACCUAUAUAUAUAUAUGGAUAUGGUAAAUUGCACUGACGUAUUUUCAAUGUGUACGGCACUUACAGUUUUACAUGAAUAUGAUAAUUAGAUUUCUGAUAAACACCAACAAAACAGUAACCUAACGACGCAUACAUGUAAAACAAAGUACACCUAGAGAAGUUAAAAUAUAAGCUUCUAACAUUGUAGGUUUUUUAUAUUACCAUUCCGAGUUUGUUCCGAUUUACCAAAUUUGAUAUUUAUGUAUAAGGUGCGCAAUUUUUGUAUAAAAAAAAACGUAAUCGUGUCUGUGUUAAAAAGUUGUCGGAAUGAAGAAUUACAGAGGAAUGCAUAUGAAAAAAAAAUCAAUUAAAAGGAGAUUUGAGAAAAGAGGUCGGACUAGGUUUUAUUCAUACUCACGGUAUGACAGCUGUAUGAGUAUACUUAGACUGAGUUUCUAGCAACAUUACAGAAUAUUUCGAUAUUCAUAGAUGCCUAAGGAUGAAUAAUCAAAACAGAAAUGAUAUUAAUUAGACCCCAUUAACACUUGCACGGAAUUGAAAUAAAAUCGAUCUCAGAAAUGAACGAUCUUUAUUGUUAGUAGAAACGGAGUCUUAGAUUUCUAAUGAUUUUAAGUAAUUAUCAUCAAAAUAAAAAAGGAACAACAUUUUUAAACGAAAUUAAAAUUCAUGAUAACCGAAGAAAAAUUCUGUCUUGUCUUUCAGAUAUACUUUGAUUGAACAAUGAUAUUAAAUAAAAAUGUCUUCACUAUUUUAAAAAGAAUUUCUGUUCAACACAUAAGCACUAUGAAUAACCUGAAAUGAAAUGUUCAUAGAAGCAUUCGUGUGUACAUAUGUACAACGCAUUGUUUUCCAACCACCGCAUUUAUAUUACGUGUCUGAUACUGACUGAAAACUAAGUACUAUCAUGUGUGGGUUGUCUCUAAUUUGUAAGAAUAUAGCCAAAACCGGUCGAACGUCUUUCGACGUUGUUUUUAGAAUUGGCGCAAUGUGUUCCCGCCAAUUCAAAAUUGUUAACCCCUUUUCAGAAAUAUCUCUUUUUCCAUUACGGUGACCCCAUAUUUUUAUUUCCUUAUUUUGUUUAGAUAUAAACAACGCAUAUUCUACUGAAGACUCAUGGAGAAAUUAUUAGUCAAUUUUUUUAAACUUAAUUUUUUUUAUAGGUAUUUCACAAUAAAAAAAGGCGGGAAAACUAUUAUAGCAACUUAUCAUUAUUAUUUUCCACUCAGAAAAUGGUGAUAUUAUUAAAAUAGUUUGUAUUAACAACUAGGUUAACAAAACAGACAAGUUUUUAUAGGAUACGGACUUUAAAAAAAAUAUUACACUGCUAUUGACUAGAAGUCCCAAUUUCCAAAUUCCGUGAAAAAGAUGGCGUUUUAAAUCGAAAACGAGGUCGGUGACCCCAUUUUUUUAUUUGCUUAUUUUAAAGCUUUUACCUAGCCUAAAGUAAAAAUAAAAUAAAAAAGAAGAAGAUAUUAUUGGUAGAUCUGAAUAGAAGGAUUUGUCUUUAAUCCAAUGCGACUGAAUACUAAUAUACAAACGACAUUGUGAAAGAAAAUGAAGAUAUUCUCAGAUAAUUAAUUUGAACCAUUUAUUCCCUGUAAACUGAAAUUUUACGUUCCUUACUAAUCAUCAGAAAAUCUGCUGGUGUCAUGCGACUUUUAUCAAGUUUUUAAUGAAAACUUUUGGUAGUGAAACCACUGCUAUAAAUGGGCAUUUUAAUUUAACAAAGACUUCAUUAGUAGUAAUUUUUAUUAUAACAAAUGUCCUAUACCUGCCAGACUCAGCAGGAAUUAAUUGUUUUACAUAACCGCCUACUGUAUUGAUAUGAUGAUGAAUAAUGGGGAACAUGGAAAAUCUCUCUCACCUUUAAUUCAAAAUGUUUGUGUUUCAAAUAUACAGAAAUCCGAUUGCUUGCUAAAAUUCGCUCUGAUUGCUUUUUGCUAAUUACUUAUAAAACCUGUCUCCCUUCUAAUCACGUUGGAUGACACUUUUUGUGAAUUAAUUAUUAUACGGGCAAAGUAUUCGUACAUUAUCAAUGCGACAUUCUGACCAUCGGAAAUAUUUUUCAAAAGGAAGUACAAAAAAUGUAUACUUAGCAAUUAUUAAUCCAAACCUCAUACAAAUAAAUAAAUAACGAUAGCGUUUGUAAUUUUCCUUUAGGAACUAAAUGGCACUAAGAAAACCAGUAAAUAUCUGUUGAUGCGAUGUCUCUAUACAAGACGCCUUGUUUAUACCAAUGAAUAACACAAAAUAUCAACAAAAAUGUAUAUAAGAAAAGCCCAUUAGUUAGGUUACUCAUAGCUUAACAUUAUGUAUGUGUGGCUUAAGUUAUAUUCGUUCUAUAUCGGGUUUUUGUCCUUUUGACACAUUCUCCAUUGUAAUUCUUAAUUUUAUGAUUUGUUGUUUUGUUAUCCAUGAUUAAAGUCAUAUUCAGUCCUAUCAGAUUGUAAGAUUAUAAGAUAAACUUGAUAAAAUGUGAAACAUAAGCAUUUUCUCAACAAAUCGUUUUUUAACAUCCACGAAGUAUAGUUUGAUACUGGAAAUUAUAUAGCAAACAGCUGAUGAGGGACUUUCCAAUUUGAACUUUCCUAAGAUUGUUAUAUUUUUCUUUUUUAAAAUUGAUUCUGUAUAUACGUCGUCUAUUUUCCAUGUAUGAUUUUAUUUGAGGCUCAAAUUUUCCGAAAUUAAGGUGAAUUGUUUAGAUCAGUAGGUUUGUUUUCACUUUGAAAUACAAAUCUGAAGUCAUUUGUAUUUUUGAAUACGCGUUACAAAUGAACGUUUACAUAUUUUGUUUUAAUACAUUAGCGGAUCCAGGGGGGGGGGGGGGGGGUUGUUCCGGGGAUUGGAACCCCCUUUUUUGCCGAUCAAUGCAUUUGAAUGGGAGCAUAUAGUUGGAUCCCCGCUUAACUUUGGGUUUGGACCCCUUUCUUCAAAUGGCUGGAUCCGCCCUUGUAAUACAUAUACAUAUUGUACAGUUAACUGUAAACUACUUAUUCAGAUAAAAGUGAAGAAUUGUGUUUUAUAUUUGUUUUAUAUGUGCCAUUAUAUCAUUACAAAUCCAAUUGUAAACACGCAUUUUACACCCAAAUGUGUAAUGAUAACCACCCCUCCUCAAAGUACGCAACUUUGGAUUAUGACUAUAGAACAGUGGUAUACUAGUGUUGCCUUUAUUAAAAGCAGCUUACUGAAAAAUUGAAGCCUGCCUACGCUAUCUAAUAAAAAAAAUAUUAUAAAAUCUUCACUACUCAUUCUUUGGUUUAAGCAUUCCUAUUUAUCGGUUGAAAUCAGUUCUCAGAAUAUACUAUCAUGAAAACUAUUUUCAUAAUUACAAUCAACACUGAUUCCAUAUACAUACUUAAGAACUUUCGAAAAACUACAUCAGUAAACCAACGAAGAGACAAAAGUAUAUUGCUCAAAUUUCAUUGAUCCAUUUUCGGAUGUUGUCUAAUGCUUAGUCCGUUGCUGUGUGUUACAUUUUAAUGUUGUGUCGUUGUUCUCCUCUAAUAUUUAAUGCGGUUCCCUCAGUUUUAGUUUGUUACCCCGAUUUUGUUUUUUGUCCAUAGAUUUAUGAGUUUUGAACAGGGUAUACUACUGUUGCCUUUAUUGAAAAUACAAAUCUCGGUAUAAAAAAACAAAAGAACCAUAAGAAUUGCAUAAACUCCUUAACACACGAGAUAAGGUGAUUGGAACCGAUAAGUAUUUCGUUCAUAACAUGCCAUACUCAGUCAAAAUGCCAAGAAACCAUUGCAAAUUGUUUUAUAAGAUAUGUAUAACAUAACUUCCGAAGAAAAAACUCUAUGCAAUUCAGACAUUCUAGAUUCUGUGGCAGGUUAAAUAUAUGAAAUCCAUGAAUUCCGGUUUAGCACUACUACCUUGCCAAACAUAGAUUACAGCAAGUCAAUGAGAUUUGAAAUCAAUCAAGACUUGACAAAGUCAUUUGAAGAAGUGUCCGUGCAAAUUUGCUUGUAAAUCGUUUUGAAAGUUAGCGGACAAUGCUAACAGUAUUAUAUAUGUAUCAGCAAACACUAUUUGUCGUAUGUUGUGGACAUGAUUUGAGACCUAUUUGGUAUUCAUGAUUUGUCUUUUCGUAACUGAUUUACGAGAUUGAACAUCAGUAAACUACUGUCGUCUUAAUUUCUCAUUUCUCAGGUUUAAUAUCGUAUAUACCACAGAAAAAUAUACAUGUCGAAAAAUGCGUACUCACAGCCGCUUAUCACCAAAAAGAAGCAUACGAUUUUCAACAGAUUUUAGAGUUUAUCACCUACAACAGUUCCAUUUCACUAUAUAUUAGCAUUGUAUUGUUAUCAAAUAGUUCAAGUUAGUCCACUGGAAACAGAUAGUACUUACCCUUCUUUUGCUUUCAUGUUUUCUUUUAGCUGGCUACCUGUAAUAAGAGUUAAACAAUUUUUAUGUCGACAUGUAUCUCAAUAGAUGUCAGAAAAUUGUAGGGCACUUCUUUCUGUGUUUUGUUUUUAUAAUAUCAACAUUUCCAAUAACAUUAGUCAAAAGCUUAUAUUUUUGAAACUUCAAAUGAAUUCAUUUCCUGUUUAACAUAACAGAUAUCUGUUCACAAAUUGCUUAAUAAAAUAUUUUAAAAAUCGAAAAGAUCGAAUAAGAUAUUAUAUUUGUUUCAUUUAAUUCAUGUAGAUUAUCCAUGCUGAUGCAUAUUUUACAAUCAAGCUACUCUAGAUUGUUUUUUUGAGUGUUUUUAACUUUGCAACAUGUAUGUGUGUGUUCGAGUAUGUGAACAUAAAAUAGCUGCUAAAAUUAGAUCAAUCAUCCGAGUCUGAGUACGAUAAAAUUCAAAAUGUUAUGACCACACGACCGGACAGUAGAAACACUUAAGUCUUUGAGUAAUUAAACGCCCAUCAGCAAUGGCAUCACUUUGUAAAGACGCGUUUCGUGUAUGCUAGCCUACUCAUCAGUGGCAUUCAAAUGUAACGGUUGGAAGGCCAAAAAAACCUCAAUGCAACCAGGAUGUUGAAAAACCUUAGUAUCUCGAGUAAUUCAUGCCUGGUCACCUACAAAUGAGCUAUGAACUAAACAGUAAUGUAAGGGAUUUGUUUUACUGUUAAAUCAAUUUAGAGUUAAAAAAAAAACCAAAAAACAUAGGGGUACCUUUUGGAAGAUGAUGUAUGUUAGAAAAUGUAUGUUCAAUGAUACUUAUUGAAUAUAUUUUGCCUAAUAAUACCGUUAGCGUUGGGGUUUGCUUUAUAACCUUUCACAGGAGUCAAAGAUAUGAUCGAUAAAGCAAAUCAUAACACAUAGCUUACCUUUCGAAUUGUAUAUACGUAUACGUAAGCAUAUAAAUGUAGAUGCAUCUUUUUUGUUUUCUUCAAUUUAAGUCAAGAACACAAAUUUAGACAUUCGAGAUACAAAAGCGAUAUCUCUUAUGCAAAGUUGAUUUAAAGCGAUAAUUGUAGAAAGUUGCAUUUAAAAAAAACACUCUUCAAAUAUGCUAAUAGUUUAAAACAAUUCCUGUGUGUAUCUUAGUCAGAUAUUUAAAAAAAAUCAUUCCAUCAUUUCUCGGAAAAUGCGUAGCAAGUUUGGAGUAUGACAGUUCUUUCCCUUUGUUUCGUAGCGUUAUGCGUUAGUUUAUGUAGUCGAGUAUUGUUGUUUUUCUGGUUUUAUGAAAAGUUGUUAUCUUAUAGUUCGUUUCUCUGUGUGGUGCAUUGUCGUUUUGGCUUUUUGUUGCACUUCAGUGCUUCUGCUGUUUCGUUGUUUUCCUCUUUAAGUUGAUGUGUUUACCUCAGUUUUAGUUUGUAACCCGGAUUUUGUUUUCUCUCCAUCGAUUUAUGACUCUCAACAGUGGUAUACUACUGUUGCCUUUAUUUAUGGACUUUUCCUUCUGAAUUUCACUUGGUUUUGUUUUGUUUAUGCCUCUUUUCCUUAUAUUGUGAAAUGCUUUUCCGAUUGUAAUUUUAUAGAUAAUUUUUUGUUCCUAAUUUUUUACCAGAUUAUAGUCUGACUUUUAUAAACUUGUGAACCAAGUUGCCUCUUUUCGUCUUAAAGCCUUUUUAAUUUUUUAAUUUAGAUUCAAUCCGCCUGGUGUGAUGAUAAGGACACAUUUUCAAAUAGAUUAUUAAAGUCUGGACUCAAACAGUUAUUUUUGUUCUUGUAACUUAUACAUCGUAACAACUGUCGUCUAGACCAUAGGAAUAUUACAAAUAAAGCACACCAAGGAAUGUUUGCAGGUUCCCUAUAUAAUGCUGGCUAAUUAUCAAGUUAGCAUGCAGAUAUGUUGAGUUCGGGUGCAACGUACACUUUCUAGUGCAAUUUCUUCUGACAGCGAUAAUUGUCAAUAUAGUUAGCCACAAAUAGACCCGAAUCAAUUUACCUACAGCAAAAUACGUUCGAAGCAGCAACUUUUUUUCAUUUUUUUCCAUUAAUCUAUUAAAUCUGGAUGAUUUGCUUACCUACUUUUAUAUAUAAAGUAUAACGAAUCUGUAAAUAACUGUCAUACUAGUGGCAGAUUUAGCGAGCUAUAAAGCCAGGUUUUACCCACAACUUUAUUCGGAAAAUGACUGUAUCAAGUCAGGAAUAUGGCAGUUGUUCUUCACUAGUUGAUCGAUAUAGUUGAUCGAUACAGUUGAUCGAUACAGUUUAUCGAUACAGUUGAUCGAUACAGUUUGAUUUUGUCAGUGUUUAAGGACUUCCCCUUUUUAUAUUUGCAUUGAAGUUUUAGCAUUUUUGUUCAGAAAAAUAUCAACGACGUAGAAGGACCACAAAAUACACAAAAAAUUGUGAAUAGAAUUCCUCUGACUUUUUCUUUACUUAAUGAAAAAGAAGACUAAUGUUAUUUUAUAUAAGGAAAGGAACAGCUGGAACUAUCGGCAUUAAAAAACUGCAGGAAUAUUACAAUUGAUGAACUGUUGAAAUUAACCAAUUCAUUAACUGACUAAAUGAACUUAUUCAUGAACUGUACGAAUUAAUCAAUUCAUGAACUGUUGGAACUAACCAUUUUAUUAACUGUACGAAUAAAUUAAUGCAUAAACUGAACCAAUUGAUUAAUUCAUGAAUAAAUCAAUUCAUUAACUGUACGAAUAAACUUAUUCAUAAUAACAUUAACGGUACUAAUUUUCCUGCCACCAGAUGCGCAUUUCGACAAUACAUGUCUCCUCAGUGAUGCUCGUGGCCAAAAUAUUUGAAAUCAAAAGCUUAUAUAAAAGAUGAAGAGCUAUAAUCCAAAAGGUCCAAAAAGUAUAGCCAAAUCCGUGAAAGGAAUCAGAGCUUUGCAUGAGGGAGAUACGUUCCUUAAUUUAUAAUAAUUUCUAACAUUUUGUAACAGCAAAUUUUAAUAACACAAAAAAUCCGUAUUUUCAUGUCAGUACCGAAGUACUGGCUACUGGGCAUAAACUUGUACGAUUUAAUCAAUUCAUGAACUGUUCGAAUUAAUCAAUUUAUGAACUGUUCGAAUUAAUCAAUUUAUGAAUUGUACGAAUAAACCAAUUCAUUAACUGUACGAAAAUACUAAUUCAUAAACUGUACGAAUUAAUCAUUUAAUAAAUUGUUGGAAUCAAUCAAUUCAUUAUCUGUACGAAUAAACUUAUUCAUAAACUGUACGAUUUAAUCAAUUCAUGAACUGUUUUCCGUUUUAAAAAGUUUUAUUGCAAAGGUUUGGUAAUACGGUUGUACUUUUUGUAAACUGACACUACAAUUUAUGUCCCUGGAUAAAAGAGAUCGAAGUUGACACAUAGUGUUCCUGAACAUCUAACUCACUGUACGUCUCAAGCUCGUUUGGUUCGCAUUUAAAUCUAACGUUAACCGUAUCAACUGAUUAUUCGCUCUAAACCUCUGAAUAACGUACAAAACAAAAAGAUAAGAGGGAAGACAUCACACACGUAAUCACAAUUAAAUAAUUAUAAAACACCAAACACAUAUAUGUAUUUGCUUUCUUAGAAGUUGGAACCUAAAUAAAUAUUCAUGUGACAAAAGUAGCAAUAACACAAAAAGAUGAAUCAUAGAUUUUUAUCAAAAGAUACGAUAUACAAUUGUAUACUAUGAAGUUGCAACACUUAAGUGCAUAACUAAAUUAAGACGUUAAUUUUAAAAAGUUUUUUACCAUACAAUUAAUAAAUCAUAUUCUUCAAAGAAAUUAUAUGAUGCUUUACUAUUAUGGGAUUUAUAUUUUUUGGGGUUUUACGAAUCAUUAAGUUUGAAAAUUGGUGUUAUGAAAUGUUUGAUACCUAUGAUUUUUUACCUAAAAAUAUUAUGGUUUUUUUUCUAAUCAUGAAUUAUGUUUAAUAUCGAAUUUUUCUUGAUAAGUAAAAUCCCUUAAAUAUGGGGCUUACAAAAAUAAGAGGAAGAUUGUUGCCAAUGAGACAACUCUUCACCGGAAACAAAAUAACAUAGACAUUAACAGCUUCAGAUCACUACACGGUCUUCAACAAUGAAAAAACGCAUAGUCAGCAAUAUUGGCCGUGUUUAAAUCGAUAUAUGGAACGGAAUGUAGUUUUUUUAAAGGGAAAUGCUCUGAAUUUACUAUCUUCUUGCUUUUUAGUAAAACCUAUAUUUAUUGUUUGUAAAAUAUUGAAUUAUUCUAAUAACUGAAUAAAGGCAACAGAAGUAUACCGGUGUUCAAAAGUCAUAAAUCGGUUGAUGAAAACAAAUACGGGUUACAAAUAAAAACCGAGGGAAACACAUCAACCGGAAAACUGGAAAAACAAAGGAACACCAGAAGCUCUGAAGUGAUACAAAAACAAACGCCAACAUAAAAACAAACUAUUUGAUAACAACUGAAAUUCCUGAAUUGGUACAGGACAUUUGAAGUGAACCUGGUUUUAUGACUCUCCAAACCUCCUAUUUAUGACAAUGUUGAAAAACAUCACUUCAAUGACAGCACAACUUGACAGAACGUACAGUACAAACCCAUGCAAUAUCAUUCAUUACAGAAAAUCGCACAAACAAAUAAUAUAAUAGUCGACACAACAUGCAAACCGCAGAACAACAACGAAUAUCUUCCAUCAACGACAAACACCACAGGAAAUUAUAAAUAGUGACGCACUUUAGUAACGAAAAUGCUUAAUUUAAACAAGUAAAAACUUAAACAGUUAAACAAUUAUCAUUUAUUACACUAGUAAUCCGCAAUUGGCCCUAUAUCUCGAAAUGAUUGGUGUUUAUUAUUGCUUUUCAACUUCGAAUGUGAUUUGGCCUUCUAACUGUUUUAAUUCGAGUGUUCUGUAGGAGUUAUUUGUAGAUGAAAUUCACGUGAAAAUUAAUAUUUUUUACCUUUCUUUUGCAACCAAGGUUUGUUAACUACAUUUAUUAUGAACAUAAACCUCGUACCUUAGGAGAUUUCAUCAAAAUUUAACCAAGGCUUUCCUACCUCAGGAAUAGAUUACCUUAGCUGUAUUUUGGCAAAACUUUUAGGAAAUAUUGGUCCUCAAUACUCUUCAACUGUGUACUCUAUUUGGCCUUUUAAACAUUUUUUAUUCGAGCGUCACUGAUGAGUCUUAUUUAGACGAAACGCGCGUCUGGUGUAAAUAUCAAACUUUGAUCCUGGUAUCUAUGAUGAGUUUAUUUGCAACCACUGGGUCGAUGCCACUGCAGGUGGAGAUUUAUUUCCCCGAGGGUAUCACCAGCCCAGUAGUCAUCACUUCUGUGUUGACUUGAGUUAUCAUUGAUAUGUUCAUAAUUAUAAAUUAACUGUUAACAAAACAUUGAAUUUUUGAAAAACUAAGGUUUUUCUACCUCAGGAAUAGAUUACCUGAGCUGUAUUUUGGCAAAACUUUUAGGAAUUUUUGGUCCUAAAUGCUGUUCAACUUUGUACUCUAUUUGGCCUUUUAAAAUGUUUUAUUCGAGCGUCACUGAUGAGUCUUUUUUAGGCGAAACGCGCGUCUGGCGUGAAUAUAAAAUUUUGAUCCUGAUAUCUAUGAUGAGUUUAUUUGUUAUGAUAUAACUCAUAUUAAAUCAAACUGGCUGUUGAGAGUUAUUCAAUAUUAAGUUUUCAAAUAGAAGUUUUGUGACUUUUUGUUUUUGUUUUUGCUAUUGAUUUCUUCCACCCUUCUGGAACCAACUCUGAUUUUCUUUGCCCAUGUUCUUUUUUUUUUCUGUUCAAGCAAAGUCAGCAUAAACUGUUUAAGAUGAUGUAAACAUUUGUAUCUUAAGAAAUAGUAAAAAAUAUAUAUCACAAUUGAUUUAGGUUUUCAGCAAUAGCAUUCAUUAUGAGUUAUGUAUUAUUCAAUUUGUAUGAAACAUGUGUCAUUGUUCGCUUAACUUGAUAUCUUCAUCAACACUUAAGUGAAAAGCUUUUUUUUCAGCUAACCACAAGAAGUGAUUUUUGACUGAUGCGAAAAAUAAUUUAACGCCUAUAUGCUCACCUUUGCUCUUCAAAGGGUGGAAAAUUAAUAUUUUAUUUCGCGGUCUACCAGAAUAUUAUUCUGUGGUUUCUUUCGUUUGAUAAUUAUGAAAGCAAUACAAAAUUGAUAGCCCGAUGCUAUUACAAUUUAACCAGAAUUAAACGAGAAAGACAAAUGUUAAAAUAAUUGAAAUUAUGUUAUGUGCUCUCAAGUAGCAGUGAUACCAAUGUUUGGGAAUUAACAUUUAGUAACAAAUGUCACUUCAACUAAUAAUCCUAAGAUUUCAAUUUUAUAUAGUUUUGCAUGCUUAUUCUGCCAUUGAUUGUGUGAUUUGCAAGUAACUUUUAUAUCCAAUUGCGGAUGAAAGAUUCCUACAGGUAAAAUGUAAUAAAAGUAAAGUUUUCGAAAAAUACAAUUGUCUACAAAACAAAUGACACAAUCUCUAUAAAAAUCAUCAGUUUAAAUAAAAUUUAACAUUGAGUAUGCGCAGAUCCGACAGCAAUGAAACAAACCCAAUAAAACGACAUCGAUUCCCUUGUACACCUUACAUAUAUAAAAGGAAAUUUGAUUUUGCGUUGACAAGUUUUUCUAUAUAAGUUCUCAUAUUGAAUGUUCUGUUCCCUUUCAUUGACUUCUCCGUUUGGGUUGUACAGGUCUCAAAUAGUUCGAUGUGUGUGCGUUUGCAGUGACGUCUAAUAUUUCAAUCGUUGUUUAAUUUCUACUUCUGAUAAAUAACAAGGAAAUCAAGGUCAUAACCUAGUGUAACCUGCUACUAUAUUUUUCUUUAUUAUAACGAUUCAUUAUAAAAGCUUUUUCCCCUUGCGGGAAUUUUAUAUUUAAAUUAUUUCACUUUAUUAUUAUUUAAACAUAAAGACAAAAAAUAUGAUUGCCGAUGAGAAAAUAUCAUUUAACAUCAAAUAAAAUAUAUGUGAACGUUUAUAAGUCACCGUACGAUCUUUCACAAAGAGAAAGAGUCAUUCGAUAUUGUUAUCUAUCAUUUCAAAAUGGAAAACCAACUUCCAGAUAUAUUCUACAAUAAUUCAUUUAUGAUUUGUAUUGUAAUUUUAUUUAUAACGCAGGCAAAUUGUACGAUUAUCCCUCAAAUCAUUCCUUUCGUUAAUAAAUCAACCUAUAUAUAAAGGCUGCCCAUUUAUUGUUAAAAAUCUAAUCAGUGAUUUUCUAAAACUCCCCCGCAUCCUUUUAAUUAGACUUUGUUGGAAUUUCAUGCUACAAUAUUUGGUUUUGAUAUUACUUUUAAAUAUAAGGAGAUGCUGUUUGCACGUAACAAAGUCAGUACCCAAACGACACAAAAAAAACCCAAACUGAACUCUUUGAAGUCAACAUAAAAUCUUCAAAAUCAAAACAAUGGUAUAUACAGUUUGUGAAGCUAUAUUUGGACCCGACGAUGUUCGUCACUUUAGACAGACAGGUUUCUGAUUAAACAAGUAUUUUACGCAUUCAGUCAACAAAACACACGUAUAGGAAACAAUAAUGAAUUUGUGCUGACUAUAUCAGAAAUACACAGAUACAAGGAAAAAAGUGGUGAAAAAAUAUAGGUACAGGGGCAUCAAUACUGGAUAAUGCCAUCUACGUUCAGAAAAACACAACAAAGGUAAAUAGAAAACAAUGUUGGAUAACACUCUUUGCACAAAAAGAAGCAAGAUGUGUAUCAUCAUUUACUAAGAAGUGUUGUUUUGGUUCUGAAUUGAGGAUGCGUUGGUUCUUAAUGAUGACAUUAACGUGUCCAAUCUGCAGUUUAUUCCAUUUUGGGCUUAAAUACGGUAUGAAUAUAUACACCAUCUAAAACUGUGUCCUUUGUCACUAUAUGACUAUAAGAUUAUAUGAAGUAAAAGGAUUAUGUAAUAAGAAGAACAAACUAAAUAAUACUAUAUUUGUUUUUCGUGGUUUUUUUUUAAAUGUGGUAUUUGUGUGAUACAAACCAAGGUAACACAAAAGUACAGAGCAUCAUUAAGUUUUGAUGUUACUGCAAUAUUAAAGUGAGUGUGAUUGAAGGUUUUAAAGUAGAUCUUUAGAAUGUUGUCAAAACUGGAGAGUUUCAACGUUCUUUUUAAUAGAAAGGAGAGAAGGGCGGAUUUGGGAUUUACUACAUUCUUCUCUUUCGUCUAUGAUGUAGGGGUAAAUCUGGAAUUUCCACUUUUAGCUGUGAAUUCCAAGUUUGAUAUCUAUACGUUCUAAAUAUUGAUUUUUGACUGUACAAUUGAUUACGAAUAUGGCAUCCACAACAUCGGACUUAUUCAAAUCGUAAGAAACCAUUGUGUUCAUUAUAUAACGUAGAUUUUGACUGAACUUUUGAAUGCACGCCUGAGCAGCCUCAAUAUAUGCCAUACAAAUAAAAAAAAAAUCCAGUUUUGAUUCAUCUGUCUAGGAUUUUACUGAUUUCCUACUAUCAUUUCAGCAGUGUGCGAUGUGGUUUACGAUCAACUUCAAAAAAUUAGAUGGCCUUUAAACUUCAAAAAAUUAGAGUAUGUUUUUUCUACAUUGAUAAGGAUUCCUGAGAUCACCCCCAAUUUUUAGUAGGGUUCGUGUUUCUCAGUCUUUCGUUUUCUAUGAUCUGUCUUGUAUACUCUUAUUUGUCUAUUUGUCUUUUUCUUUAUUAGCCAUGGCGUUGUCAGUUUAUUUUCGAAUUGUCAAAUGAACAUAUUAGUGCAUAAAAUCUAUUUUUUAUGACAUAGGUGACGAUUUCAGUUUCCCAUUGUUAACUUGCCUUUAGCAGUAGUAACAUGCUACUAGUAUCAUUACAAAGACAUUCCACAACUCAAUUGAUGCAGAUAAGAGAGUGUUCACGUUUUGUAAAAAAAAAAAAAAUUAGAUACACAACAACCGAUACAACAGGGAUAUAAGGAAAAACGACACAAAUUAACUUCAAAUCAGUUUCACGGACACUGUCACAAUUAGAUAACCGAUCUGAUGUGUACAGUUUUUAAUUCAUGAGAUAUUCCCUUUCCCGAGAUUGGAUCGUAUGGUACCAUGAUAGUCAUCUGAACUUUAUCUAAACAGCUGAUUGUAUCCUGCUCUUUUUUGUGACAUUUUUCUGAGUCUACAAUCUGCAUGGUAGAUUACGCAAGACGCUUAUCCUUUCCAUGCAACAAGUCUUGAUCCUUUUGGAGUAAAUAUGAUUUUAUUUAGUUUUUAAUUAGCAUCACGACAUCAAACAUCAUAAGACUACUUUCUCCUCUUGUUGGAACUAUCACCUGAAUAUCUUUUUUCAUUUUACGUAGCCAAACAGUAUCAAAUACUCACAACCAUUAAAACAAGAUCAAUGUAACUACCCAAAGUGAAGUUUUAUAACGAAAAAGUGAAAGUAUAAUUCGGUGUAAAUUGUACAUCUUCACCAACUUCGCUAUUAUAAAUCAAAAUCAGCGAAUAAGUAAAACCGAUCGGUAAUUAAAGCCAUAAGCCGGAUCACAAAAACAUAAUUAUUUAAUGAAAGAGCCAAUUUAUCAAAAAGAAAAAGAAUGAAAUAUAUUUAAAGUCAACCAAUGACAAAGUUACGAAUUAUGGACUUGAAAACCAAAAGUAGAUUUUUUGUAAUCAAUCCUGCAUAUUUUAUUUUAAUUUGGUCCAUGCAAUGGCAAUUAAUACAUUGUUAACACACACAUAUAGUCAGUAAAAAAGUUUAAUAUCGACAUUUGUACCCCAAAGUUGAAAAUAUAUUGAACAAAUCAACGUUUUUCUCGUUUAAGAAAAACAAGAGCUGAUAUGUGCAAUUGCCAUAAGUAAAAGAUUGUACAAAAAUCCAAUACAUAUAAAACAACUAGAUAUCUUAGUGCUGCAUUAACAUGUAAACGAACAUAUCGGUAUGUCUUGUAUAUCAAGAAAAAGAUAUACAAUAGGUUACGACUGCACACCAACAGAAAAGCUUGUCUACAAAGAUUCUUACGUCUCAACAGAAAUAGACGAAAUCUGACCAUGACUUUUAUAUAAAAUCCGGAAAAAUUGUCACUUGACACAACAUAAAAUAAAGAACUUUAAAAGUUAAAAAAAAACCAUCAAAGGCUGGGGUUGAUCACAUAUACUCUAGAAGGAUGAAAAGAUACUGCUCCAUACGUGAGGAAAGCUCAUUUAAAGUUUUGUACAUAUAAUAAAUUAAAAAUGGAAAUGGUGAAUGUGUCAAAGAGACAACAACCUGACCAAAGUGCAGACAAUAGCCGAAGGCCAUCAAUGGGUCUUUAAUGAAGUGAGAAACUCCCGUACCCGGAGGCGUGCAUUUUAAUUUCUUUUUUAAUGCCACACCUACGAAAGUCAUUUAAAGUUUCGUACAAAUAAUGAAUUAAAAAUGGAAAUGGGGAAUGUGUCAAAGAGACAACAACCUGACCAAAGAGCAGACAAUAGCCGAUGGCCAGCAAUGGGUCUUUAAUGCAGUGAACUCCCGUACCCGGAGGCGUGCAUUUUGAUUUCUUUUUUUGCCCCAACUACGAUAGUAGAGGGGCAUUAUGUUUUCUGGUCUUUGCGUCUGUUUGUUCAUCCGUUGGCAAGGUAGUUUGUGAUUAAGUUGAAGUUCGAAACUUAGUACACAUGUUCCUUAUCAUAUGAUCUUUCUAAUUUUAAAGCGAAAUAAGAGAUUUUUUCCUUAUUUCACGGUCCACUGAACAUAGUAAAUGAUAGUGUACUAUGGGAACAUUCUUUUUAAUAAGUGAAAUAAGAAUUAGGUCUCCAUCUUCUUUUCCCUCAUUUUUAAAAGGAAAGGAGACGUUUUGACAACUAUCAUUGGUCCAAUAUUUUGUUGUAUGCUUGUGUGAUGUGUUUUCAUUUUAUCGUUUACCCCUUUACAUAAACAGAUUGAAUUUGCAAAAAAAUAGAAUUAUUAAAAAUGUCAUACUGUUUGUUCAGAAUUAGCAUAAAAUAGAACUUGAAUAUAAAUAUCGACAAACCACUAUUGCCCCUAUCAAUAAAUGAACAGCUGUCAAGAAUGAGAUGUUCUAUAGUCUAAUUUAUAUCAUAUAGAAAUCGAAAUAUUUGGUUGCUAUAUUCCACUUAAUGAAGUGUGGGUAAAAACUGCUUUUCUUGGUUUUAAAUAUAUUUGCGGUGUCAUCUAAAGAAAUAAUUUUCAGCUUUAUCUUGCGUCAAUUCCAUGAAUUUAAAGUAAAACAAAAUAAGACAAGUAUGAUAUCAUUUAUUAUGUUGCUUUAAAUGAAUUAAUUUGAUUUUAAAACUAUAACCAACGUGCUAAUUUAGCAUUAAGAGGUAUAGAUAUAAGUACUUAAAAGUGGCCAUUUUUCGUUUACUGUCUAAUUUUUUUUUAUUGUCACCACAGAGGUGACAGAAGCAAUACCACGUUAUGUGUGAUGCAUCUCGAUAUUCUGUGUAUUAAUGCGUCCAAAUCAUUUCCUCUGCAUGUGCACGUUUAGUUCCCGAGAGUAUCGAUACUUUGCUGUCUUCUAAUUUUGUACCUUUAUUAAUAUUGAUUCAUUUUUAAAUAUCUUAAUAGUCACAGUUCACAUGUGUUUUAAAACGAUAUAAGUAAGCAAAAGAUAAGAUAAACAAAAAUACAAAAAAUUCAAAUCGUAAAUUCUCUUAUAAAAUGCCUAAUCAAAAGCUCAAUCACAUCAAACGGCUGGGAAACAACUGUAAUAUUCCCGAGUUGGCACAGGCAUUCCUAAAGUAGAACUGGCGGAUUAAACCUUUUGUGUUACAAUCUUAACCACUAUUAAACAAACAUUUAGCGCACUAACAAAAAAGAAAGACAAGCAAAACAAAACAAAACAAUGACCACGGCACAAAACACACCGGUGGGACGAGCAAGCACCGAGCAACGCCAAAAGAACACUACCAAAUUGCAUUAAGCAGUAAAGGUAAUUAAUUUACAAAGAAAAAACAGGAACGCAAAAACACUUAAUUUUUAUUUAUUUAUUUUCAUGGGUACCAUUUUUUGUGGAUUAAAGAUAACUUAUUUAAUCUCGUUGUUUUGACAAAGUCUGCAUAUAUUCUUUUCGAAAAGUUGUAAUUUGUUGAACAUUUAAAUUCUUGGUUUCCUAGUACACAAGAAAUCCUAUAAAAUUGGUAUCCGACGAUUAAUAAUGAAUCCACAGUAAUUAAGAAAAUAAACAACAUCAGUACCUAGAAGAAAUGUAGUGGAGCUAAGAUAUAUAAUACAAACAAGGUAAAUCCUCAGAUUUGCUUUUCAAUGCAAUGCUUAUUGAAGCCAUAAAGAAUUUCUCAGCCUUAAAUUUGUUGGUAUUUGGGAUUAUCUGACUGCUCAUUUAUUCCUAAUUCUUUUAUUAAACAAUCGCAGUAGUACGUUUACUUACAUGGACAAUAUUAUUUGAAGCUUUGUCAAUAGAAAACCUAAUAUUGUAUAAACAAUCGGGUUAUAAGUUAUCAAAGCAAUAAAUGGAUAACAUAACCCAAACACGAAACAGUCAUAGAUAUCAACACUAUGUUUUCAGGUGAAGAACCUCUCAUCCGAGAGGACAUCAUCAGCCCAAAAAUCAGUGCUCGCAACGUGCGUCUGGCUUAUUGAAUUAUAUUGAAAGAUAUCGUCGAUGACUUUUCGCCCCGGAGGGUACUGUUAGACCAGUAGUCAGUGCUCCUGUAUUGACCUGAUAUAUCAUUUAUAAGAUUUUUUCAUGAACAUUUACUGUUAUUAAGAUGUAGAAAUCAAUCAAACACUUAAAAUAGUCGUUUCUACCCAGACAUAUAUGGCAUCAUACAAAAUGGGAACUAUAUUUUAGGAUUGUUCAUGCACUUUAAAUUCAUCUUAGUUACCAUUCAAACUGUGUAGAUUUGAAUGUUGCUGAUGAAUAUCAUAAAGAUGAAACGUGCGUCUGCCAUAUCGUAUUAUAAUCAUGGUAUCUUUGAUGAAAUUUUACACCUAAUGUGUCUUGUAAAGACUGGUAGACAUUUCCUGUCCCUCAAAUUCAGGUUUUUGUCCUUUCACCUUUCUUGAUUCAAACCCAACGAAUGAUUUUUGUGUAUCAAAUUAUGAGCCAGCUAUCAAGGAUCAGACUUUUAACAGUUGUCUUUAUUAAUAUAAAAUUGACUUAUACAACAAAAACCAGAGUGAACAAUUUUAACACCGAUUAAUAGAGACUGCAAACAUUUCCAUUCUCUAUUUCCUCUUUGUGAAGCAUAGUCAAUAUUGAUGCGUAAGAAAAUGGAAUGAAGCUAAGAGUUAAGAGCUAUAUAGGUUAUACCACUGCAUCGAAUUUGAUACAAUAUAUAUCCACUCGAGAAGUUCAAAAUUACAAAUUUGAAACGAGUGGCUCGCCGAGUAUAGCGGAUUGCACGAUAUUUUCGUGGUGGAAUCUGUUCUCUAAUGCUUUUCAUGAUAUGUAGACAAUCUUAAUCCUUCUUUUCAAACAACUUUCAGAAAGAUGUGUUCUUUCUAUGUGACGUCAUCAGAUAUGAUUGCAUUUUUUCAUGAUGUCACAAUUGGGAUUUCAGAGGAAAGCAAGAAAGUUUGAUGUACGUAGCAAAUUUUGACCAAUGAAGAACUGAGGUCAAACGAACCCCACGUUAAUUAGAUAAAAACAAUCGACAGGUCAGAUAGAGGAUAAAUCAAGUAAGAAUUAGAGAAUUAUCUUAACAGCACUCAAAGUAAUAUUUAAGCAUAUGGAUAACUUAGGGAUAGUACGAAGAUUCAUUAAGGGUGUUGAAGAAACAAAAGCAGAAGAAAUUGUCUGCGAAUAUCUUGGUCUAAAGGAGAUGAAAAGUUAUAUAGUAAUACAUUGUCAGUACAGGAAAUGGUGACGACAAUGGCAAAAAUAUCCUCAUGCGAAAGUAAGGCAACAAACAAGUUUGAUAUGUGGCUAGCUUUUAACAGGAAGUUUCCCUUUUAAGAACUCAUGAAUUUAAAAAUAUUCCACAAUUUAAUCUACUUACUUUUUUCAUUGGCGUCAAUCAACAAACCCUGCCCUUGUGCAUAUACUUUGCAGGUUAUUCUGUCUGUCCCUGGAAAAUAAACACACGUAAUAACGAUGGGUUCAUUAUCAUUAUGGUAGUUAUUUGUAUAAACACUUCUCAAUGUUAUGGCCUUCUGCUCCAUCCUAAAUAACAACAGGAGUUGGAAUUUGAAGGUAUAAUAACACUUUAUGUUUUACUUCUAUUUUUUAAAAACUUUACAGUAAACAAUAACAUAACUUUUGUUAAAGUUUAUACGCAAAUGUAUCUACGGAAAGUACAAUACUACAAUGAAAGUUCAGGUGAUGUUAAAGUGCGCUUAGUCUAAUUUUGUUCUCUUAACUUACCAUAAUACACAUAUUUUUAUGCAAUCAUUAAAUGUUCAUAUUCUCUUAUGUUCUAGUGCAGACUUUACAUCACUCUUUGGGCAAAGAAUUUGACUGCAAUCAUAAACUAAGAAAAAAGUUUUACUUUUAUUAAAAAUCAGAGCCUAGUAGAAACACUGAAAACUGAUAAAACUGAUAUAAUUGAGAAGAAGAAGAAUUUAUCCAAACCCGUUUAAAUGAUAUUUUUAAAAGUUUUAAGUGUUGAUGUCAAAUCAUGAAAGUUCUUCUCAAAUACUUACAAUUAUUAUAAACACCGAACUCAGAGGAAAAUUCAAAACGGAAAGUCCGUAAUCAAACGACAAAUCAAAAGCUUCAACACACUCUUGAUGACGUGAAGUAUUUGUUGAUACUAGAGGCAUCACACAACAAAAUUUCCAAACUACUAGAAUAGUAGACUUGUCUUACAAUAAGAUUAAGGAAAUGACAGAUUUGACACCACACUACUAUUAAAUGACUGUACAUGCAUUUUCGUAUGUAGAAAAUGGGGAUUAAACCUGGUUUAAAAGACGCAUAAAACUCCAUUAUAUUGACAACGAUGUGUGAACAAAACAAACAGACAGAAUAGGUUAAAAUAUCAAAAAUAGGGGUACAGCAGUCAACAUUGUAUUAUAAUCUUAAUCCCUAUAAGACAAACAUAUAUGUAACAAAAAAGCACAAAAAUCCAUAAAGACAAAUCCCAUUAGCAAAACAAAAUCCAUAGCACAAUAACACAAUAACGGGAUGUAUAAGAACGGAGCCACAUCAUAUGUAUCAACUUUUCUACAAUUGGGACAAUUGGCUACUUGUCGUAAAAAGUUUGAACACUGAUUAUUGUUCUUUUUUUCUUGUUUUCUUUAUGUAAUAUAUAUCUUAAAAUAUUCAAUGUAUUCGUGCUAUUUAUAUGUGUCUUUGAUACAUAGUUUAUCAAACUGAAUUAUAUAUCAUACAUUUCUUAACAAUACUGAUUAUGUUGGAAUAAAAUUAACAACAAAGAAAGUAUUCUAAAGAACAUUAAAUCAGCAAAUAUGCAAGACUUUAACAUAAAAUAUGCCAGCAUUGCCCUUUGUAGGGCAGUUGGUUCAAAUAUAAAACAAGAAACUUAAUUUUUUUUUUUAUAUUUCAAAGAAUCUAAACCACAAACCAUACCAAAUGAAAAAUAUUUCAUUUUGUAUUAUUUUAAUGAGCACCGAAGACUUAUAGUUAAGUAUAUACACACCAAUUAAUACACUAAUUUUCCGACCAUUGUUAAAAAAAGAACCUCGGUUCAUUUGACUUAGAUUUAUUUUUUAAAUUUUUGGUGUUUUAACGCUUCUUUUAAACACUUCUUUUUGGCUUUUUCGUGGCGGCAAGUUUCUAUUUGCGGAGGAAGCCGGAAUGGCCGGAGAAAUCCAUCGACCUUCAAUAGGAAAACUGACAAUCCUAGUCAAUUUAGAUAUGGAAUCGAGUGCACUACUUGCACGAGUGGGGUUCAAACUCACAACCUCAGUGUUGAAUGGCUAGUGAUUACAGUAGUACCUACUUAAACCACCUGAUCACUGACCACAGAACUGCAUAGACUCAUUACAGAGUUAGAUGAGUAAGACAACAACGUUAUUAAUACAUAGCCAAGAAUCACCAUGAUGGGAUCCUGACAUGUACAGAUGUAGUUGCCAAAAUAAGACAGAUUAAGAAACCGUUGAUGUAGUCUACAUUAUUUUUUUUUGGCAGAGGGGUUACAUUGACAGAACAAGAUAAAAAGGUCGUUGUAGAAAUUGGUUUUCUAUCAUAUUUUGGAAAUAUUUCUUCAGUCUACAAAGCUAAAGAAUCACGACUUGUAUCAUUAACGAUUAAGUUGAAAUGUUUCCACUAGGAGUUAUAUCUCUGAUUCAAAAGAUGAUAAAGGGUAACCGAUGAAUGUACAUAGAACUAAAUGAAAAAAAUUCGAUGACCUCAUUUAAUCGCUGGUAACUUCCCUUUUCUGUGAAAAUUUCCAGCGUGUGUCUUUAACAUUUUAUAGACAGUUUAAAAUGUUGGUUCCAGCUGAAGCACACCUAUAGGUGUGGGAUUCUCACCUAUUUAUGCUAUUCUCGCUUUGAUUUGAAUAUAAGAAUCACUAUUGGAUAAAACUAGUUGUGGGCCUUGUUAUAAGGCCAAUAUGACUAUGAAGAGAACACUUUAAGGCGACAUCUCUCAACAAAUCUGUAAUCUUAUUCGUUAAAAAAUAUAUAAAAAAAUUUGUUCAGUCGUGCAAAUACAGUGACCGAUAAUGCAUUAUUUGAUUAUCAACAAUUUAUGUACUUGAUAUUACAUGUACUUUAAUGCAUUCCAUUUAUCUGAAUUAAACGAGUUUUUUGUAAGGAUUCAUUUUGAUUUUUGAAGCUAUAUCGGUUUCUUUAAUUGGUCGACAUAACAGCACAAAACGCUUUUUCAUGAUUAUUGUCUUCCAAGAUGCAACAAGGAGUUGUACUUCUUCAUGACAAUAUGUUAUAAUAUAAUAACGUUUUGAAGUAUAAUCUGUAUAUUUUUCUAUGUCUACUUUAUAAAUUGUUCAAGUCAUAUCGUUAGAAGAAAUGAAACAAGUGAUCAUAUUACAAUAAAACCAGCACUUCUGUGCUGACAUGAAUUAUCAUUGAUAUGGUCAUAAUUAUAAAUUAACUGUUUACAAAACUUUGAAUUUUUGAAACACUAAGGUUUUUCUACCUCAAGCAUAGAUUACCUUAGCUGUAUUUAGCAAAACUUUUACGAAUUUUUGGUUCUCACUGCUCUGCAACUUCGUACUUUAUUUGGCCUUGUUAUCAUUGGUUUAUUCGAGCUUGACUGAUGAGUCUUUUUAAGUCGAAACGCGAGUCUGGCGUUAUAUAAAAUUUCAGUCCUUGUACAUAUGAUGAAUUUAUUUAUAUCAAUACAAAUCAUUACUGUUUUAUGAUUAUUUUCAUAAUCCUUAAAAGUUAUACUUACUACUAAUAUCCAUAAAUGAAAAUCCUACUUUUUAAUUCAUAGUAGGUGUAUAUGCUAAACUUUAUUGUUUUUGUACCCGGCCACUAUUUUAUAUCUGUAAUUCAUAUGGUAUUCCUCUAGUGCUGGUUAUUUGUUUUUUUUUUUUCAAUCGAUGACUAGAGUUAUACAUUUGAUUUCACCAAUAGAUGUUUUGUCGAUCAUUGUGAGAUGAACACGGUUUGAAAUAAGAAUCAAAUGAUAGCAUUUCACCUACUUCGUGUACACAAAGUAGUAAAUAAAGGCAACAUUAGUAUACUGCUGUUCAAAAGUCACAAAUCGAUUGAGAGAAAAAAAAUCCGCGUAACAUGGAGUUCGAUAUUGUGGUUAUUUUUAUUUUUUUUUUAAAUAAAAGCAACAGUAGUAUACCGCUGUUCAAAAGUUAUAAAUUAUUUGAGAGAAAACAAAUCCGGGUAACAAACUAAAACCGAGGGAAACCCAUCAAUUUUAAGAGGAAACCAACAAAACAACAGAACACAAAAGCGCAACAAACAGCAACGACAAUACGAUUUAUAUAGAAACAAACUAUUAGAUAACAACUGCCAUUUUCUUGACUUGGCGCUGAACGUUAGUAAGUGUCAUUCAAUACUGUAAACCAACUUAUUUUCGCGGAUACUUAUUUCGCGUUUAACUCUUCCUAGUCCACUUUGCGUCGAUUUAAUUUCGCAAUUUUCUUAUCUAGUCGAUAUAAUUACAUAAGGAUAGAUCCAAGAUCUACAUAUUCGCGACGAUUUAUAUUUGCGUUAUUUUUCUACUCGCGAAAGUCGCGAAAUUCAAUCGCUCGUAAAAAUUAGUUGGUUUACAGUAUCUAAGUAUUGCUUAGAAAACAAGAAUACCUAUACAAAGAUUAUUUCACCAAUUUGACAAAGGACUAGGCUCAGUAAGACCCCUUGUUGGCCCCAAAAUAUAGCAGUUUUACAAAAUUGUUAAAAUGUGAAAUUUAAGCAAGUUAUUGGAAAGUCGAAUACUUCUGCUACAUAAAUAUGGGCUAUUUUUCACAAUACAAUGGACAUACAUCGGGUACUAGCAUCUUAAAAUCAUGCUGAAUUACUGGAAUCUUCAUAAUUUUAGCAUUUGAGUUAGAUUUUAGACGGUUUCCGUAUUAAAUGGAUGUGGCCAUAAUACAUAACAUAUAUAAAGGUUGAGAGUAAACAAGGUACGACCACUUCCAAUUUUGACCAAUAAACAUCUGAAAAUUGACAUAUUAUGACAUUUGUGAUUGAUUUUUCAUAUUUCAGCAGCUAGCAUUUGAGCGUCUUAAAUUACUUAAUUAUUUCAAAUCUUUAACAUAAAAUAAUUGAUUUGACUGAAAUAGACACUUACGUGUUUAAAAAGUGUCCAAAAUAUUUCAUCGGACGAACAUGAAAUUUGAGGCCAAAAUAGGCUCUUACCGGACCUACUCCUUUCUGAUAAUCUAUAGAAAUAAUCGGAUGAGAUGCCUAUAACUAUAAGUGGCAAGAUAUGAAAAGUUUUAAACACAACACGUAAUAAGUAAAUUUGUAUUACAGUGACAUGUGAAAUAACAGUUUGACAAAAUACAAAAUGUUGCAAAAACAAUAGAAUACACCGGACCCAUUUAAUCUAUAAAUUAAGGCAACGGUGGGAUACCGCUGUUCAAAAGUCAUAAUUCGAUUUAGCAAAACAAAUCCGGUUAACAAACUUAAACCGAGGGAAACACAUCAACUAUAAAAAGAAAACAACGGAACAACAGAAAUACUUAACUACAACAAAAGCAAACAUCAACACACAUAGAAACGGACUGCUUUGCUCAUUGCUGAAGGCCGUACGGUGACUUAUAGUUGUUAAUGUCUGUGUCAUUUUGGUCUUUUGUGGAUAGUUGUCUCAUUGGCAAUCAUACCACAUCUUCUUUUUUAAAUGUUGACAACAACUAGCAUAUUCACAAAGUAAUAAGUCACAUCUUAAAAUCAUAAAACGCAUUUUAUUAGUAAAAAUAUUUGAAAUGAUUGCAAAACCCAGUCAACAUGUCAUAAACCUUAGUGUGCCAUGUAUUUUUUAAAGAAAAAAUCAAAGAACGGUUAUAUUGAAUAGGAUAGAGUUGUCCAGGUUUUCUUCUGAGAUUAUAUUGUGUUUUUAGAAGCAAAAAAUAUAUCAAUGUAUUUGUAAACUUUAAAAAAAAAAUGAAUCAGUUGGAGGAAAUGAAGGAAAAUAAUUCCAAAUUAUUUUUGUUAUUCUUUCUCGCUAUUUUACAAUUUGGAAAGAAAUGCAAUAUUUGCAGUUAGUCAGUUUAGUUGUGUCCUCGUGAAUUGAAUAUUAAAUUAAAAAAAAAAGUCUCUUCUCCGCCAUUUCUUAUCAAUUAUUAAGUAAAACUAAUACACAAUUGUUGGAGAAUAAGUUUAUAACAUAUACGGUAUCAAUUUUCCCUGCACCAGAUUCGCAUUUUGAUAAUCAUUUUUAUUUCAGUGAUGCUCGAGGCCUUAAUAUUCAUAACUUACUUUGUAGCUUACUAAAAGAUGAAGAGCUACGAAAACAUUUAAAGCCAAAGCCUUAAAAAUUACAAUCACAAAAAUACUCCGAGAAAAAUUCAAAACGGAAAGUCCCUAUCGAAUGGCAAAAAUAGAUACGUUUACAACUAACUAAUUUUGAUAUCUCAUAUGGUGACAGCAAUGUUGCUAAGCUAAAUGGUCAGUAGAAUUAUUUUUAUUAAACUUAGUAAGAGAGUUAUGCUUCUCGAGUUGACGACGGACGAUUCAUUUUGUGCUUGGAUACUAACAAGAUUUUCACAUUAAUCCAUUUUAGAGAAUUUCAGAUAUCCCUUAUAACAUGUUGUUUCGAACACAACGCACAGUCUCUUAUUUUGAAAAUUUUGAUGUAUCUGAUUUGGAGUAUGAGAUUUUGCUUGUGAAGCAUCGUUUCUCUGUAACUAUAAAGUUCUGUCAAAAAGAUGUUUGCUCCACAAAAACAAAACGUGAUUCAACCCACUAUUUUGGUAUGAAUAUCUAUACAAAUAAACAGUCCAGUUACACAUCAGACAAAAGUGGGUGUGAAAACAAUCAUUAUUUUAUAAACAUCAAACGGAAUGCGCAGGUGAUAUAGACAGCAACAUAUGGUAUCUACAGUUUAUACCAUAUGUCGACAUCAAAAUCGCCCACUGGUCUAGACAAUAAAAAUACGGGCACACUGCGAGCACUCUUAGAUCGGUACUUUGUAUCUGUACGUUUGUCGUGCUUUGUUUCGAUCUGAUGAGUCAAGUUCUAUUGAUCGUUUUUUUUAAAAGAUGGUUUCAUGUUUCAUUAAUGUCCUAUGCUAGGUCAACAUUCGAAAUAUUUUUAUCGACGCCAUAUUCGGCAUUUGUCUGUUCAAAGACAGGAGCCUAUAGUUCAGUGUUUGUGGUUGGUGCUGUCUCAUUUGUUGUUAUAUAAAUAAAUCAGGCCAUUGGUUUUUCAUAUCCGGGUCUUUUAUGCCAUACUAUAUUUGAUAGGUUGUGGUCAUAGUUAUUUAAUUUACAAUAAGACCAUAUCUACAUGUCUUAUAUAAUAACGAAACGUUCUUUUUGUAUAAAGCGAUCUCUGAUUUUUAUGGAAGCAAUUCAAAAAUACCAAUUUUAAAUUUUGAAUAGUGUAUUAUUUAGUUAUCUAGUAGGUAGGAGACAAAUCAUAACACAUCGUUGUCAAUAUAAUGGAAUUUUAUGCGGCUGUCAUACAAUUGAGUGGUUUAGCAAGCUAUAAAACCAGGUUUUAUCCACCAUUUUCUAAUACGUACAUGCAUUUACAAAGUCAGGAAUAUGACAGUUGUUAUUCAUUCAUUUGAUGUGUUUUAGCUUGUAAUUUUUCCAUUUGCUAAAGAACUCUCCGUUUGGAAUUAUCGUCGGAAUUCGGUAUUUUUGUUAUUCUACAUUAUACGAAAAAACAACAGUAGCGUAACAAACAUAUAAAGCAACUACGAAAGGGAAAAACAAUAACUCAUAAAAAGCUCACAAAUCCCUCAUGAAGUACAACAAAGAACGAACUCAAAGAAACAAAUUAUGGGUUAACAAUGGUUCAAAAACUAAUGAAACCUGCUACUCGUAAAAAAAAUUAAAUGUGGCAGUAAUUGCCAGAAUUUUAAUCACAUACCUCACAGACAUACUGUACAAUAGCCAAAAAAGUAGCGUAUGAUAAUUACUCGAUAGAUUACGAAUUAAAUAAAAUAUAAGUACACAAGUAAACAAAAAUGAAUGAACACUGGACAAAACGUCUUAUGUCAGACAAAGCAACAUGAACUUAACCAAAAUUCAAGAAUCAAAUACAAAAAAGAAGAUGUGGUAUAAUUGCCAAUGAGACAACUGUCCACAAGAGACCAAAAUGACACAGACAUUAACAACUAUAGGUCAUCGUACGGCCUUCAACAAUGAACAAAGCCCAUGCGUAUUCCGGAAAGGAUAAGCAGCUCCUACUACGUGUGGAUCAAUAGACCGUAUAGUGACUUCUAGUCGUCUUUUGGUAUUUCAAUAUAUGACGAAUAUCCAUAAAACAAUUAAAAGCUCAUUGCCUUACUAAUUCUCAGACAGCUUUAGCCUGGUUUGUCAUAUCUUUUUGGACUUUUUGGUUUUUCCAACGAAGAUAAGAACGAACCUUCAUUAGAAAAUAAUACAUUCUUUAAAAAGAUGCAUUUCUGCAUUUUUUCCUGUAAACUUAAGAAUAGAAUUUUAAUAAUAUUUUUUUUCGACUAUUCCAACCUUUGAAACAUCCUGUUUCCCACCAUAACCUAAUACAAAACCUGUAUUUUAAUGAUCACAAAAAGGAGAUGUGAAUAAAAAUGCACCUUAUUUAUUAAAGCAUUAGUAAAACUUGUUAAGAAAAGUGGUCACCAGAAAAUGACACGCGAAAAUAACAUUUACCCUAUAACAACGUCCAAUCAUUCAUCUGAAAUAAUUUCCAUAAAUAUCAAAGGCAUAUAAGAGGGGUGAGAUAGUUUUUCUUCUUCUAAUAAAUGCCCCUAAAACAGCCAUCUUCGCGUAAAUGAACACGAACAAUGAAAUUGUAAAAAUUUCUAAGUUACAAGUCCAGUUAUGCAAACGUAACAAAGGAACACAAACAAAAAGUAAAAGUAAAAAAACAAGAAUGAACAAUAUAAAAAAAGCCAAUUAAUUUGAACAAUUAAAUGUAACAAACAAACACCAAAAAAAUAAAUAGCGACAGUUCAACUCAAACAUUAUCAACAAACAUGAACCAACCAAAAGUACUGAUGUCAUUUAUAUCUGACAAACAAUAAAGAACCAACCAUAAAUGCUGAUACCACUUAUAUUUGACAAACAAACAAAAAAGACAAAUACAAGGCAACUGUAAUGUAACAAACGAUAAAUACAAGGCAACUCAAUGCAACAGAUGCAAACAAUAAAAAUAGGCAAUUCAAACGUAUCUAAGAAACAAACAUUACUGAUGCUGAAAUUGUAAAUGAAUUAACAUUGGGGAUACAGAUUUGGGAAACUUGUAUCCAGCCAUUUAGGAGCCAUUCGUUGUAUUACUUUAAAGAAAUUAAUAUAUACAAAGGGGAUCUCAUUACACUUGGCAGACCAUUCAAUAUCCUGUUGUUAGUAGGUAGAGAGACUAGUACAUUUUUAUCAAAUUUGCCGAGGUUGGUAAUCGUUGUCAUAAUUAGCAAGUUGUGACAAGGCAAAAAGAAGAAUAGAUUGAAAUUUUGGAUGACAAGAGAUUUGAUUAAUUCCUCCUUGUGUAUAGGUGUAUGCAUUUCAGUACGAUUUAAAGUCUGCCGUCUACGUUUUUAUUUGUACCAGGCUCCCAAUUUAAUGUGAAAGUAAACGUUUUCAUCAGGAGAAUGCUAUUAAUUAUUUUGGGCAUUAUCAGUGAAAAAAUUAAAGUAUUCAUGUCCAAGAAUGUAACAUGGUCUUCAUUCUCUCUUUGACUUCCAAUCAGAAAUUAAUUUUCGAGGUACCAAAUUUAACACUUAGAAAUAAUUAUUUCUUGAAUUCCUAAAUUCAUAUCUUUGAUGAUCAUUACAAGAUUUCGUGUUUAAACAUAUCUAUAAAAAUCAAUCGAACAGAGUCACGUCAGAAGCAAAUAAAACAUGGUAUAUCAGCUUAUAACAAGUCUUAAAUGAAUUCAUACAUAAAUUGAUUGAACUUUUUUGGUAUGAAACGCUUUCAAUGUUUGCAGACCAUUUUUAUCUCCAAAAUGCAUCCUAUACGGCUGAACUCUCGGUUGAUUUUUUGUUUAGAGAUUGUUUUCUUGUCUGUAUUUUCCGGAAUCAUCAAUUUUACUUUAAAUUUAUAAUUAGAAGCAGAUUUCUUCGUCGCAAUGAGUCUCAAUAAAGAGUCAAUCAUCAAUUGUUUUUUUUUCCUCCAGAUUUAAAUAUAAUAUUCAGUUAAUAAAUAAAAUAGUAAUAGUAAUAGUAAUAGUAAAAUUUCUAAAUAUUUUGUUUUUUAAACUAGAUUAUAAAGCUGCAAAUGUUUGUAAAGUAACACAUUGUCUUCUAUUUACUUCUCACUGUUGCUCAAACUAGUAUUUACACCAGCAUACUUCCAAACAAGAGAUAUAAUUUGCAUUCACUUGUAAUAUUCAAAUGCGGUUCCAGCUUCAGGAAGUGAGUUUCUAGAAAGUAAUACAGGGAUGGUACUUAAUCAAUUGUAUAGUUAAUUGAUGUCAUACAUACUUCUGCUGAUAACUUGGAUGUUAUUUAUAACAUAAUGGUCAAUGACGAUAUUGGAGUACUGUCGGUACCAGAUUUUACCACACAGACAGCAAACAGUGCUAUUUUGUAAAAUUUAAAUGAUACAUAGAUAUAGGAAGAUGUGGUGUGAGUGCCAAUGAGACAACUCUCCAUCCAAAUAACAAUUUAUAAAAGACCAUUAUAGGUCAAUGUACGGCCUUCAUCACGGAGCCUUGGUUCAAACCGAACAACAAGCUAUAAAGGGCCCAAAAUUACUAGUGUAAAACCAUUCAAACGGAAAAACCAACAGUCUAGUCUAUGUUCCUUUGAGAUUUCAGAUUUCUAGUUACGUUAUUGCAGGUACAGUAAGGUUGCAAUGUGUACAGGUAACAUUGAUCAUACAUUAAAGUGACUGAUCUUUGUGAACGCUUUUUGGCUUAUAGGUUGAGGAUUCUUGACAAUUUACAAUUACAAACAAGUGUUUCAUAUCUGUAUACUUUUACUCUCUGUUUGUGGCAAUACUUUGAGUUGUUUACUCCUUGAUAUCUUCUUAAUACCCUCACGCAAGUGGUAUAUUAAUUAUGACUACGACACAAUAUUCAAAUGUUUUCUUCGCAAAAUAUGUAGUUGAUUUUUCAGACGUUCAUAUCAGCAGGUUUAGUACUACAAGCUUGCUUUUACUAAUUAUCAGAAUUCUAUGAUAGGAUAUUUUCUAUUUUUGUUUUGCUUACUCCUGUGUUUUGUUAUCUGUUUCUCAGAUAAUAUAAAAUGUAGUGCUUCUCUUGUCUGAUUUAUACUGAACCGGCUCUAAAGUACUUUGUUUCCAUUGUAUUAGAUAAAGAUCCGAUAAGGUGAAAAAAGAGCAGUUUACUCACUUAAACAAUUCCCGAAAAUUUAAUUACUCAUAAUAACAUUGACAGACUAACUGCAAAAUUAAAGAACAAAUAUUCGGAAGCUCUAAUAUGUAAGGUGAAAACUCAAAUCAGGUUCGUAGUUCAUAAGUAGUUGAUUAAAUACAGUUGUUCGUCUAUUUUCUACACUAAACAUCGGUUCACUACCCUUAUAUCUAAGUAAAAAAUAAUGUCUGUUUGUUUUUUUCAGACAUCAUUGUCAAUAUAAUGGAAUUUUAUGCGACUAUCAUACAAGUGAGAGGUUAAGCUAACUAUAAAACCAGGUUCAGUCCACCAUUUUCUACGUAAGAAGUACCAAAUCAGGAAGAUGACAGUUUUUUUUUUCCAUUCGUUUGAUAUGUUUGAGCUUUUGACUUUACCAUUUGAUAAGGGACUUUCAAACAGUAGACCAAGAGGGUAAAAUUAAACUUCAAAUUCAAACGUAGAAAUCCUUUGGUAAUCUCAGUAAGUCAUAUUGUAACAUCCUCCAUUCUCUUUUCCGGACUUCUAUGUAAGGUCCAGGGCCAGCUAAUAAAAAGACUGCUAAGUUAGUUAUCCUCCAAAAGAGAGACGGAAGACACUAAAGGAAUAUUCAUAACCAGAUGUGUUAUGAAGACCAAUGAGAAUUCUCCAUCCAUGUCACAAUUUGUAAAAGUAUAUUAUAGGUCAAGGUACGUUCUUCAAGACGCAGCUUUGGCUCACAAUGAACUGCAAGCUAUAAAGGGUCCUAAAAAUACUAGUGUAAAACCAUUCAAACAGGAUAAACGGAAUAAUCUAUAUAUAAAAAGGCGAGAAAAGAGAACCACAGCACCAUACAACAACCACUGAACAUCGAGUUCCUGACUUGGAAUAGGUACACACAAAAGCAGCAGGUUUAAACGUUUUAAUAGGUACCAACCGUCACAGUAGUGUAAUAUUUAUAAUUCUAAGACAAACAUAGAACGCCAUAAAAAAAAACACAAAAAAAAAACCGACCAAAAGGCAAUAGUAUACGGGACGGUAUUUUGGUAAAGACACUUGUAACAUAUCCAUCGUUAUCUAUACAAAAGAUUGUCUAUAAAUGUUAACCAACUUAGGGAUUCGUUCGUAAAAUUGUGGCAACUUUACCACAAGGAAUCAUCAACGCGCGGGGAGCAGGGGAUAUUCACUUCAUAUGCAAGAGCAGAAGUUAUUUUGCAACAUAUAAAUGGUAAAUUAACAAUUUGAAGUAAGUAAUCAAGCAACAUAACUUUCUCUGUAAGAGCCUUCUGCAAUUUAGGUAUCUAAUAAAGUGAACAAAAGUCAAAUUCUUCAUCUGUUCUUCUGUCACGGGGGUAUAUGUGAAAAAUCGAAAUAUAUUGUCAAUACCUAUAGCUAUUUCCUUUAUCAAGCAGUUUAUGUAAUGUGAUUUGUCUGCUUGGACAACAAUGUAUUUUUCAUGAAUUAACAAUUGUGUGUUAAAAGAUCUAGAUAGCACGUAUUUUCGUAUACCUCUUAUUGUUUAUAAUGCUAAAUUGUAUCAACGACAUCACAGCCUAAACACAGUUGGAGAGAAAAGAAAUUGCCAAUACAAUUGAGAAUGGAAAUGGGGAAAGUGUAAAAGAGACAACAACCCGAAAAAAAAGAGCAGAAAAUAGCCGAAGUACACCAAUGGGUCUUCAAUACAGCGAGAAAAUCCCCUUGGGACAGGCGCAAAAAAGCCGCGGGGUUAAACAUAUUUUUUUAUACCUCAACUACCCCCUAUACAUCAAGCCAAUGUAGAAAUACAUACACACAACAAUUCGCACAGUAAAAGUCAGUUUGAAAGAAGCCCAAGUCUGAUAUAAGAACAGGUAACAAAAGAAACUAAACAAAGUGACAAUGAUACAUAAAUGAACAUAGACUACUGGCAGUUACUGACAUCAAGCUCCAGACCUCAAUUAAGCUUUGACAAUGUCUUUCUAAAUAAGAGUUAUUUUACUCUUUAUUUGUACUGUAGUCCUGUUAUUUAAUAUCAUUUUAGUGGUAUAUUUAACAUUAUUAUAAAGCGCGGAGUUUUGGCUAGCCAUUAAACCAGGAUCAACCAACCAUUUUUUUUUUUAUUAAAAUGUCCUGUACCAAGUUAGGAAUAUGGCAUUUGUUAUCUAACAUAUCGUUUCUAUUCAUGUUGUAUUGUCGUUUGUUUUUUUUUUUUUUUGUUGCUCUUCAGUGUUCUGUUGUUUCGUUGUUUUCCUCUUAUAGUUGAUAUGUUUCCCUCAGUUUUAGUUUGUAACCUAGAUUUGUUUUCUCUCAAUCAAUUUAUGACUUUUGAAAACCGGUAUGUUCACAAACAAAGGUUCUUAAUACUUUCGUGAGACAUGUCGCAACGUAGCAAAUGUUGAGGACAUACACUGUUUUGCUCUCUUAAUGAGGUUUUUUUCUGAAGAAAAAAUUCCUAAUUUACAACAUGAACAGCAUGGUCAAUUUGACAAGAAAAACUAAAUAUUGUUUUUUUUAAUUGAAUUUAUUCAGAUCUUCAGUGAAGGUAUGAAUAAAAAUUGUGAAACGGUAUUUUUUUUUUCAUGAAAAUAGCCCAAAACUUGGUUCAAAUUUAUGAAAAAUUGGUAAAUCAUUAAAAAGGAUACAUUCAAAUGUCCAUAGCAAAAACAGAAGUGCAGCACCAUAUGAUUUUUUCUUAAUCAUUUACCUUUUUUACAGAAAUAUACACGAAAAAUUUGGUUAAGGAAAUGAGUUUAAUUCUAAAAGAUAUUGGCUCCUCACAAGUGUACAUCCUAAAGUAAGUUUUAGAUAUAACAUGUAAAUGUAAUCUUCCUAUCCAGAUAACCGCAAUUUCCAAAGAUACAAAUGAGUAAUUUUUUAAGUAAGAUUCAAAGAUAAUAUCCUGAUCCAUCGGAGUAAUGUCCAAUAUUCGAAUAACUUACUAACUGCUAUAUGUGUUAUUUUAAUUGAUUAUCUUAAAGUUAGUCAAAGGGUAGAUCAUUGUUUUGCUCUCAAAAUUAAGGCCCAACAGACAAAAUAUCUAAAAGCUUUCCCGUUUGAUGUUAAAAGGUAAAUACUCAUUAAUACUAUUAUAAAAAGAAAAUAUAAAUAAAUCCUCUCAUGAUUAAAGUCAAUGGUACAAUAUCGUAAGUAAGGUGAAAUUAGUAGACUUUCCGCAAAGAGAGGCAAAAGUUGUACAAAAGGGACGAUAGCAAUCACUUUUCUUUCGAGUGCCCUUCACAAAGAAGUAAGAGAAAUGAUGUUUUUAAAUUGAAAUAUAUGCUUUAUCAAUUGUGCUAAUAAUGGCUGGUGACGGUGACCAAUAAUAUUAACAAAAUAAAGAAAUUGUUUAGUUUGUACAACCUUAUAUAAGAAUAACUCAAAGAUUUAGAACAUUCUAUCUGAAUUCCUACUUGUUUACUCAUCACGUCAUUCCAGUCUCAUCAUAUACUUCAUUUAUCUUGUAUUUUUUAUUUUUUAUUUUUUAUUUUUUAUUUUUUGUUUUUUAUUUAUUUAUUUUUUUUUUUGUAUUUUGUAUUUCAUACAUUCCUACAUGUUUUAUCUAAUGUAGUUUGAGUGUAAACUUGUAUGUGGAGAUGACGUCACUAUAAUGUUGUAAUAACUUGUGUGUGGAGAUGACGUCACUAUAAUUUUGUAAUAACUUGUGUGUGGAGAUGACGUCACUAUAAUCUUGUAAUAACUUGUAUGUGGAGAUGACGUAAAUAUAAUGUUGUAAUAACUUAUGUACAAUCCUGUUGCUCCUUUUCCAAAUGAAAUAUGUUGAAACUACUACCAAAGGGAUAUUAUAGUCAAUAGUUCGAAAAUAAUUUGACAAUUUUAUGAUAAAAAAAUAUCAUCGACCAAUAGACAAAAAACUGUACACAAAACACAACAUAGAAAAAUAAAACACUGAGUAACACAAACCCCGCCAAAACAAGAUAAGCUCGCAGGUAAUCAUGAAAGGUAAGCAGAUCCUGCUUUAUAUAAUACACCUGUCGUACUGCUUAUAUAAGUACAACAUAGGUAAUAAGUCUAAUUUUGUAGGUUAGAUUCGUUAAAUAGAGGAAUGGAGUGUGGUAACGACAAUUAGACAUAUACUUUGUAAUUUGUGAAAUAUCAGCAAAGCAAAUCGUGAUUGUGUUCGUCACUUUAUUGAAUGGAGGAUAUCAAUUUCAUCACCUUGGACACUUGGUUUGAUAGCUUCCUUUUAAAAGAGGGGCGAAAAAUACCAGAGCGACAGUCAAACUCAUAAAUCGAAAAUAAACUGACAACGCCAUGGUUAAGAAUGAAAAAGACAAACAAGCAAUAAUACACGUGACACAACAUAGAAUAUUAAAGAAUAAGCAACACGAACCCCUCCAAAACCUGGGGGUAAACUCAGGUGCUCCGGAAGGGUAUGCAGAUCCUGCUCCACAUGUGACACCCGUCGUGUGGCUCAUGUUAUAACACAUCCGGUAAAUAGUCUAAUUCGGUAGCAGCAACGCUUUAUCAAUCUCUGACAUAUUGUAUCAGCUAAGAGAUAUAUACUAUAUAUACAAGCGUUGCUGAAAUGUUACUACAUAAAAAAUGGAAAGUUCACAAUUGAGAAGCUGAAAUCAUUUUGUUUGUAGAAAUGAUUUGUUCUCAACCAAUCCUCAUUGUCAAUGUCUAGAGGUAAGUCAAGAUAUGGAGCAGACUUAUAUGUAUUUGUUGUAUAGUGAUAAAUACAAUAAUUUUAAAGUCGAAAGGUAGAACAUACAAUUGCUCUCCUAAGUAGGGUGGAAUUGGAAGACUAUUUAAAUGCUCUAUUAAGUGCAAAAGUAUAGCAAUCAACAUAGGGUGACUGCUUUGCCUGCUGUAAAUAUUUGCUCCCUUGACAUCUGGUCCCUUUUUAGAAAUUACCCUUUAAUCGACUGAAAAGAACUUGCAGAACAGAGAAAUGCAGGGUUUGAUAGAAGCAUACCGACGCACCUGUUCUUACUUUCUCGUGAACUAUUUUUGCAGAAAAAAUAGGUCUUCGUCAUUUCUUAUUGUCAAUAAAUAUUGUUUUUGUAUUUCUGAAAACAUUUUUCUUUUUAUAACCCAAGUGGUAUCAUUCAAAUCAUAUUCCCUUCAAACGAGUAAUGGAGUAUUAUAGUACAACUUGUAUAAAUCUGUUCUCGCAUUUUAAGCAUAUUUUUUUUCCUUUUAAUAUCAUUGUUCAAGUGUACUCACUGAAUACUUCUGCAUGCAACGUGCCGAUAUAUAAAAGACAAAGGACAAUGAUAGAAACAGAGUAAACACAGAGGUCAUGUUUGAUGUCUCCAUGUUGCUAAGAUGAACAUCCUUGACAUUCAAGUUGCAUACAAAUAUUGAAUUUUACUUUUUAAGUGGAGAGGUCUUUUGUAUUGAAUAUAAUUUACAAUUAAUUUUUUAAUAAAAACUAUUUAUAAACACCCUUAUC